GGCUCGUUGGUCUAGGGGUAUGGUUCUUGCUUAGGGUUUGAGAGAUCCUGGGUUCAAAUCCCAGAUGAGCCC
rfam:Buceros rhinoceros silvestris contig118269, whole genome shotgun sequence.